rnacentral:lncRNA from 1 species
AAAUGAUCAUAGGAUACCCCAGAGUUCAACUGUCAACUCUGAUCAGGUUGUCCACAUUGUAUUUCAAAAUAUCAAAUCCAUCUGAUGGAUUACCCUGGCCAAGGUUUUGCUAAAUUGAAAUACAGUGACUCAUUCUUCUCCAACUCUUGGAGUGGUCAACCCAUCUCGAUCACACUCUGACUUUGCAAGUACUUGACUGUGCCCAGAAGCCU